rnacentral:snRNA from 1 species
AUCCCUUCCCUGUCUAUGAGCUAAAACCAAGCAUAGUAUCUGUCUGACCAAUUAAAGCACCUGAUGUAUUUUUAUCUGUGUCCUGGGCAUGAAGUUAAUGUUUGGAAUUAGGAAAUGGGUUGGGAGCUAACUCCAUCCGCUGCUCCACGCCUCAGCUUGGAAUUGCAUUACUUCCAGGAAUGGUGCAUUCCUU